rnacentral:rRNA from 1 species
AGCAGCAGCCGCGGUAAUACGAAGGGUGCAAGCGUUACUCGGAAUUACUGGGCGUAAAGCGUGCGUAGGCGGCUUCUUAAGUCGGAUGUGAAAUCCCUGAGCUUAACUUAGGAAUUGCAUUCGAUACUGGGAAGCUAGAGUAUGGGAGAGGAUGGUAGAAUUCCAGGUGUAGCGGUGAAAUGCGUAGAGAUCUGGAGGAAUACCGAUGGCGAAGGCAGCCAUCUGGCCUAAUACUGACGCUGAGGUACGAAAGCAUGGGGAGCAAACAGGAUUAGAUACCCCAGUAGUCCCUGUCUCUUAUAC